rnacentral:rRNA from 1 species
UUCUUUUAGUUUUUAUUAAAGGUAUUUUCUGCCCUAUGAUUUAAUUUAAAUGGCUGCAGUAUAUUGACUGUACAAAGGUAGCAUAAUAAUUAGUUUUUUAAUUGAGGACUUGAAUGAAUGGAUAAAUGAGGGAUUUAUUUUAUUAAAAUAAUUAUUAAAAUUUUAUUUCUUGGUUAGAAAGCUAAGACUUUAUUUAGGGACGAGAAGACCCUAUAGAACUUCAAAUUACCUAUUUUAAUUUUAUUUUGGUUAGUUUUAUAUAUUUAAUAUAGUUGGUUUUUGGUUGGGGUGACUAAUAAAUUUAAUUAACUUUAUUUUUUUAAUUCAUUUUUUAUGUAAUUUUGAUCCUUAAUUAAGAUUGAAAGAUAAGUUACCUUAGGGAUAACAGCGUUAUUUUAAUUGAAAGUUCAUAUUUAUAUUAGAGUUUGCGACCUCGAUGUUGAAUUAAGGUUAAAUUUUGGUGUAGAAGCUUAAGUUUUAAGUCUGUUCGACUUUUAAAUCCUUACA